UACAGAGGGGGCAAGCGUUGUUCGGAAUUACUGGGCGUAAAGGGCGCGUAGGCGGCCUGUUAAGUCGAACGUGAAAUCCCUGGGCUCAACCCAGGAACUGCGUCCGAUACUGGCAGGCUUGAAUCCGGGAGAGGGAUGCGGAAUUCCAGGUGUAGCGGUGAAAUGCGUAGAUAUCUGGAGGAACACCGGUGGCGAAGGCAGAUCUCUGGGCCGUAACUGACGCUGAGGAGCGAAAGCGUGGGGAGCGAACAGG
rnacentral:rRNA from 1 species